AGAGUUUGAUCAUGGCUCAGGAUCAACGCUGGCGGCGUGCAUGAGACAUGCAAGUCGAACGGACAACUCGGGGCUUGCUCUGAGUUGUUAGUGGCGGACGGCUGAGUAACGCGUAGGUGACCUGCCUCGAAGUGGGGAAUAACUGCCCGAAAGAGUGGCUAAUACCGCAUGUGGUGAUGCGUUCGAUCGCAUCAGUAAAGCCGCAAGGCGCUUCGGGAGGGGCCUGCGUCCGAUUAGCUCGUUGGUGGGGUAACGGCUCACCAAGGCGACGAUCGGUAGGUGGUCUGAGAGGACGAUCACCCAGACUGGGACUGAGACACGGCCCAGACUCCUACGGGAGGCAGCAGUCGGGAAUUUUGCGCAAUGGACGAAAGUCUGACGCAGCAACGCCGCGUGAGGGAUGACGGCCUUCGGGUUGUAAACCUCUUUUGUCAGGGAAGAUUAUGACGGUACCUGACGAAUAAGCCACGGCUAACUACGUGCCAGCAGCGGCGGUAAUAC
rnacentral:rRNA from 1 species